rfam:Xenorhabdus nematophila ATCC 19061 chromosome, complete genome
UUCAAUGGCGGUUCAGGCAGGGGAGGCUUCGGCCUCGCCGGACGGUUACUCCCGGUAUUGCAAACCCUGUCUGAACCACCACCAAU